rnacentral:rRNA from 1 species
AUAGAGACUCAGAGCUGCAUAUCAAUAAGCGGAGGAAAAGAAACUAACAAGGAUUCCCUUAGUAACGGCGAGUGAAGCGGGAAGAGCUCAAAUUUGAAAUCUUCAAGGUUCUACCUUGACGAAUUGUAGUUUAUAGAAGUGUUUUCUGUUAGUAGGAGUGGUAAAAGUUCUUUGGAAUAGGACAUCAUAGAGGGUGAGAAUCCCGUAUUUGGAUCAUUCUUUCUAGCUUUGUGAUACACUUUCAAAGAGUCGGAUUGUUUGGGAAUGCAGUCCAAAAUGGGUGGUAAAUUUCAUCUAAAGCUAAAUAUUGGCGAGAGACCGAUAGCGAACAAGUACCGUGAGGGAAAGAUGAAAAGAACUUUGAAAAGAGAGUUAAACAGUACGUGAAAUUGUCAAAAGGGAAGCGUUUGACACCAGUGUUGUUUUUCCGAAAAUCAAUUAAAAAUGGUGGGAUGUUGUGUUGUAUUGACUUUAUCAGCUUUCUGCACUUUUUUUCCUAUCUUUUUUAAUGCACUUUUCGUUUAACAAGUCAACAUCAAUUUCUUUUGUUGUAAAAGAGUCAUUGGAAGGUGGCUUUCUUUUCGGAGAAAGUGUUUAUAGCCUUUGGCUUCUGCAAUCGGAGAGAUUGAGGUCUGCAGCGUAGAUCCUUCGGGGUUAGAUACAUUUGUGCUAAGUUAUAGCCUUUCAUAGACAACUUGUUGACUAUGAUCAGUCAUGUAGCUUACUCGCUUAUGUCAUUUUACCUACGCUUAGGAUGUUGACGAGACUGUCGAUCU